UUUGCUUUCCUCCUCCUGCGUUUCGUCGUCUUCCGCGUUGAGGUGACAGCGACGUGACGUCACUAACAGCCCCCGCCCCCCUGCGCGUUGACGUUGCAUUAGCCUGCUGCAGGUAGGCUGUGAUUGACAGGUGUGAAUGGAAGUGUGAACAUUUGUCUUCAAGUGCCCUGCGAUUGCCUGGCAACCAGUUCAGGGUGUACCACGCCUCUCGCCCACAGUCAGCCGGGAUAGGUGCGAGCGUUUCCUGCAACCCUAGUGAUAAGCGGGUACCAGUGAUGGAAAAGAGGAACCAUGCAAUAACCAUAAAAAAAAGGAAAUGGAACUUGCUGUGACCAAUAUGGAAGUCUCUGGAUGCUUGUCAGGUACAUAUAGCGUACAAACUAAUUUUACCAAGCAGAUGCUAACAUUACAAUACAAAAUUACAAGAAUAUAACUUUGGCAAAACCUAUAAAACUCAUCUAGGUAAUGGUAUCACUCUGUAAA